UACGUAGGGACCAAGCGUUGUUCGGAUUUACUGGGCGUAAAGGGCGCGUAGGCGGCGUGACAAGUCACUUGUGAAAUCUCCGGGCUUAACUCGGAACGGUCAAGUGAUACUGUUGUGCUAGAGUACAGAAGGGGCAAUCGGAAUUCUUGGUGUAGCGGUGAAAUGCGUAGAUAUCAAGAGGAACACCAGGGGCGAAGGCGGAUUGCUGGGCUGAUACUGACGCUGAGGCGCGAAAGCUAGGGUAGCAAACGGG
rnacentral:rRNA from 1 species